AUACGGAGGGUGCAAGCGUUAAUCGGAAUUACUGGGCGUAAAGAGUACGUAGGUGGUUUGUUAAGUCAGAUGUGAAAGCCCCGGGCUCAACCUGGGAACUGCAUUUGAAACUGGCAAGCUAGAGUAUGGUAGAGGGGGGUAGAAUUUCUAGUGUAGCGGUGAAAUGCGUAGAUAUUAGAAGGAAUACCAGUGGCGAAGGCGGCCCCCUGGACCAAUACUGACACUGAGGUACGAAAGCGUGGGUAGCGAACAGGAUUAGAAACCCUAGUAGUCC
rnacentral:rRNA from 1 species